rnacentral:rRNA from 1 species
AGGUGAAAAGCACUUCGAACAGAAGAGUGAAAUAGUCCCUGAACCCAUACGCCUACAAGCAGUCGGAGCCGCUUCGUGCGGUGACGGCGUGCCUUUUGCAUAAUGAGCCUACGAGUUACUCAUCACCAGCGAGGUUAAGUACUUCAGGUACGUAAGCCGAAGCGAAAGCGAGUCUGAAUAGGGCGUCAAGUUGGUGGUGGUAGACGCGAAACCUUAGUGAUCUACCCAUGGGCAGGGUGAAGGUUUGGUAACACAAACUGGAGGCCCGAACCGGUAAACGUUGAAAAGUUUUCGGAUGACCUGUGGGUAGGGGUGAAAGGCCAAUCAAACUGGGAAAUAGCUCGUACUCUCCGAAAUGCAUUUAGGUGCAGCCUCUGUUGUUUUGUUCUAGAGGUAGAGCUACUGAUUGGAUGCGAGGGCUUCACCGCCUAUCAAAUCCGGCCAAACUCCGAAUGCUAGAACAUGAAGACAGGGAGUGAGCCAGCGGGUGCUAAGGUCCGUUGACGAAAGAGGGAGAACUCAGACCAUCAGCUAAGGUCCCCAAUUAUAUGCUAAGUUGGAAUAAAAACGGGGUGGGACUGCUUAGACAGCUAGGAUGUUGGCUUGGAAGCAGCCAUUCAUUUAAAGAGUGCGUAACAGCUCACUAGUCGAGCGGUCCUGCAUGGAUAAUACGCGGGCAUAAGCAUAUAACCGAAGCUAUGGGAUUGUAGAUGAUACAAUCGGUAGGAGAGCAUUCCAUUCAGCGUAGAAGCAGUAUCGUGAGGUAUUGUGGAGCGGAUGGAAAAGCAAAUGUAGGCAUAAGUAACGAUAAUGCGGGUGAGAACCCCGCACGCCGAAAGAUCAAGGAUUCCCCGGCAAUGUCAAUCAUCCGGGGGUAAGUCGGAUCCUAAGGGUAAGCCGAGUGGCGAUCCCGAUGGCAAACAGGUUAAUAUUCCUGUACUGAUCAUAACUGCGAUGCAGCGACGCAGAGGUGACACUGCUGCGUACUGACGGAAUAGUACGUUGAAACCCGUAUUCUUUGAUACCGGUAGUGAAGCACGCCGGUAGAGAUGAAAGGUGAUAGUACCGCAAUGCUUCGGUUGCGCGGAUAACGCAGGUAAGCUGACUGCCAAGAAAACCUGCUAAGCUUCAGGUAAUGAUCAUCCGUACUGUAAACGGACACACGUGAUCAGGUAGAAAAUACUAAGGCGCUCGAGAGAUUCAUGGUUAAGGAACUAGGCAAAAUGGUCCUGUAACUUCGGGAUAAAGGACGCUCUUGUGAAAGAGCCGCAGAUAAUAGGCCCAGGCGACUGUUUACCAAAAACACAUGGCUAUGCUAAUUCGCAAGAAGAUGUAUAUGGCCUGACACCUGCCCGGUGCCGGAAGGUUAAGAGGAGAGCUCAGAGGUAACUCGAAGGUUUGAAUUGAAGCCCCGGUAAACGGCGGCCGUAACUAUAACGGUCCUAAGGUAGCGAAAUUCCUUGUCGGGUAAGUUCCGACCUGCACGAAUGGUGUAACGAUCUGGGUACUGUCUCAACCAUGAGCUCGGUGAAAUUGUAGUUCCGGUGAAGAUGCCGGAUACCCGCAACGGGACGGAAAGACCCCGUGAACCUUUACUGCAGCUUUGCAUUGAUUUUGGGUAACAGAUGUGUAGGAUAGGUCGGAGGCUUUGAUGCUGCGUCGUCAGGCGUAGAGUAGCCGUCGUUGAAAUACGACCCUUUUGUUAUCUGAGGUCUAAUCCCGUUAGGGAGACAUUGCAUGGUGGGUAGUUUGACUGGGGUGGUCGCCUCCAAAAGUGUAACGGAGGCUUCUCAAGGUACCCUCAAGGCGUUUGGUAAUCGUCUGCAGAGUGCAAUGGCAUAAGGGUGCUUGACUGUGAGACCGACACGUCGAUCAGGUUGGAAACAAGAGCAUAGUGAUCCGGUGGUUCCGCAUGGAAGGGCCAUCGCU